UAUUGGACAAUGGGCGAAAGCCUGAUCCAGCCAUGCCGCGUGUGUGAAGAAGGUCUUCGGAUUGUAAAGCACUUUAAGUUGGGAGGAAGGGCAGUUACCUAAUACGUGAUUGUUUUGACGUUACCGACAGAAUAAGCACCGGCUAACUCUGUGCCAGCAGCCGCGGUAAUACAGAGGGUGCAAGCGUUAAUCGGAAUUACUGGGCGAAAGCGCGCGUAGGUGGUUAGUUAAGUUGGAUGUAAAUCCCCGGGCUCAACCUGGAACUGCAUUCAAAACUACUACAGAGAUGGAGAGGGUGGUGAAUUUCCUGUGAGCGGUAAAUCGAGUUGAAGAACACCAGUGGCAAGCACACCUGGCUGUCUGCUCUGCGUCAGA
rnacentral:rRNA from 1 species